CUCAUAUACAUAGCACACUGUAGUUUUGUCUUGAGAGAAAGGGUUACAUAUCUCUUUCUCCCCGCCCAGUUUAAGAUCACACCCACCUGGCAUGAUAACCAACAAAAACUAGAGAUUGUCACAGACAGAGGGCAUGGGGAUGUGACAACUUGUUUUCUAACAGGUUACAAUUUCACCUGCAUACUUCAAUAGACAAACAUAAACGGGGAAAGGAGAUAACACACGGUGAGAGAUGAUUAUGAAGACUCUGUGACGAGAGAGAUGUCUGACCACAAGAAGGGAUUAUUUGAGCGCAUGCCAUAUGUCAGACCCAUAGCGCUCGGCCUCUCCAUGGAUCACCAGAUAGCGCAUUACAAGGGCACGCGUGGACUGCCCUUUCCUCUGGACACAACAACCUACCUGGAUCCUGUGUACGGUCAGAGAUUCGCAGGGUGUCUCUCGUAUUUCCCAUUCCACAGGCACAUCGGUGUCUAUGACUAUUCAUUCGAACCAGCGUUCAUUCGGAAAAGGAACGAAAGGGAACGGCAGCGGGUGCGCUGCGUAAACGAGGGCUACGCACGGCUCCGGGAGCAUCUUCCCCAAGAGUUCGAGGACAAAAGACUCAGCAAAGUGGAGACACUUCGUGCUGCAAUAUACUACAUUAAACACUUGCAGAGUCUGUUAGAUGUCAACGUGUCCAGUGGUGGUGGGAUAGUUGAAAUGUCAGCUGGAGAGAUGCGCAGCCGUGCGCCCGUGUCAAAGAUGACAGAAUGCUACAGCGACGGGGAGUCAAAGAACAGCGACAGUGGAGAGUUGAGUUUCUAGAACUGUGUAAAAACGAAUAAAUUGUAUUUCCUUUCACUUUAUUGCAUCCUUGUUGAGGUUUGUUCCAGAAAAAUGACGUGAAAGUUAUAUCCAUGACCCGUGUACUCUCUAUCAUUCAUUUCAAUGAACGUGUUGAUCACUUGAUUUUGACAAAAAGCCACAAGACAGUGCAUUUUGACAACGAGCACCGUGGACUCUGUAAAGCCUGCUAUCAGAUGCUAAAUCAGGUUAAAAGUUGCACUGUUUCUCUCACGGAGAUAGAGCAUCCCAGGCCAGCCCCAGGGACGAUGGUAUUGUUGUUUGCCUUUGUAAACCAGUGUGAGGCACCUUAACCCAAAUAUCUUUUGCAUAGGUAUAGUACGUGGUUUGCAAUGCAUUGAACAUAUACAGUGACAUCUCAUCACUCCCAGGUGAAAAACAGGUCACUAGAGAUACAAUUGUGUGGGUCUAUAUUCCUUUUGACACGUUCAGUUGUGUCAGUGUCUCAGUGAAAAGAUGAUUGGAGAGAAGAAAAAUCAACCCUUUUUUGGGGUUGA